GUUUUGCAAUCAAAGGAGCAAUCCGCUGAGAGAUGGACUCGCGUCCGAUUAGCCAGUUGGCGGGGUAACGGCCCACCAAAGCGACGAUCGGUAGCCGGACUGAGAGGUUGAACGGCCACAUUGGGACUGAGACACGGCCCAGACUCCUACGGGAGGCAGCAGUGGGGGAUAUUGCACAAUGGGGGAAACCCUGAUGCAGCAACGCCGCGUGUGGGAAGAAGGUUUUCGGAUUGUAAACCACUGUUCUCAGGGACGAUAAUGACGGUACCUGAGGAGAAAGCUCCGGCUAACUAC
rnacentral:rRNA from 1 species